UGGGGAAUAUUGCACAAUGGGCGCAAGCCUGAUGCAGCCAUGCCGCGUGUAUGAAGAAGGCCUUCGGGUUGUAAAGUACUUUCAGCGGGGAGGAAGGCGAUAAGGUUAAUAACCUUGUCGAUUGACGUUACCCGCAGAAGAAGCACCGGCUAACUCCGUGCCAGCAGCCGCGGUAAUACGGAGGGUGCAAGCGUUAAUCGGAAUUACUGGGCGUAAAGCGCACGCAGGCGGUCUGUCAAGUCGGAUGUGACAUCCCCGGGCUCAACCUGGGAACUGCAUUCGAAACUGGCAGGCUAGAGUCUUGUAGAGGGGGGUAGAAUUCCAGGUGUAGCGGUGAAAUGCGUAGAGAUCUGGAGGAAUACCGGUGGCGAAGGCGGCCCCCUGGACAAAGACUGACGCUCAGGUGCGAAAGCGUGGGGAGCAAACA
rnacentral:rRNA from 1 species